AUUGAACGCUGGCGGCAUGCCUUACACAUGCAAGUCGAACGGUAACAGGUCUUCGGAUGCUGACGAGUGGCGAACGGGUGAGUAAUACAUCGGAACGUGCCCGAUCGUGGGGGAUAACGAAGCGAAAGCUUUGCUAAUACCGCAUAAGAUCUACGGAUGAAAGCAGGGGACCGCAAGGCCUUGCGCGAACGGAGCGGCCGAUGGAAGAUUAGGUAGUUGGUGGGAUAAAAGCUUACCAAGCCGACGAUCUGUAGCUGGUCUGAGAGGACGACCAGCCAAGCUGGGACUGAGACACGGCCCAGACGCCUACGGGAGGCAGCAGUGGGGAAUUUUGGACAAUGGGCGAAAGCCUGAUCCAGCCAUGCCGCGUGCAGGAUGAAGGCCUUCGGGUUGUAAACUGCUUUUGUACGGAACGAAAAGACUCUUUCUAAUAAAGAGGGUCCAUGACGGUACCGUAAGAAUAAGCACCGGCUAACUACGUGCCAGCAGCCGCCGUAAAAC
rnacentral:rRNA from 1 species